rnacentral:lncRNA from 1 species
CCGGGGAACACCUCCUGGCCUUGCGUGACCCUUGGGCUGGCCGCGGGAGGCCGGUGCUGCAGAAGCCGUUUCUGGAACUACUGGAAGCUCCGUGAGGGAGGAGCUGUGUCUGGCUUUGCACACCACGUUUCUGUCUUGCAGGCACGUGACGGCACUCACAAAACAGAGACAAGGCUGGGCGCGGUGGCUCAUGCCUGUAAUCCUAGCACUUUGGGAGGCCAAGGCAGGCGGAUCACUGGAAGCCAGGAGUUCAAGACCAGCCUGGCCAACAUGGCGAAACCCCGUCUCUACCAAAAAUACAAAAAUUAGCUGGGCAUGGUGGUGGGCACCUGUAAUUCCAGCUACUCGGGAGGUUGAGGCAGGAGAACAGCUUGAACCCCCAGGAGGCGGAGGUUGCAGUGAGCCGAGAUCAUGCCACUGUACUCCAGCCUGGGUGACAGAGCGAGA